ACUUUCUCAUGGGAAAGGACUAGGCUCACAGGAAAACAGAAGAAAGGAGACAACAGCAGCUGCACAUGGUCUGGUUGGGAGGAUAAAAUGGCGUGUGGAAGCUGUCAGCCUCCCUGUCUGGAGCCGAAUGUCUCCCCUGGCUGCUGGGUGCCAGAGAAAGACCGGUGACCUGGGAGCCGGGGGCCUGGUACAAAUCGUGUUCCUCCCGAGGCCUCAGUUUCCCCCCUGCCCCAGCGAGAGGCUGGGCUGAAUGACAUGAACGCCCUUCUGGUUUCCACGCCACCUGCCACGCUCCAGCUAUGGAAACACAUUCAUCAUUUUGUCUCCAGAAGCCUGGAAUCUGCUUUAGAGAAAACGCUCCCCAAAUGGUUAUUGAAUGAAUGAGUGAUGAC